CUUCCAAAGGAGUCCAACUCCUUCCAGCUCCCCGUCCACCAUCCCGAGGGCGUGGUCCUUGCCUCCUGUUUCAAGGAGGCUGGUCCAGCAGUCUCGGCAGGAUGAGGACAGAGGGAACAAAGGCCUCUCCUCUUCAAGCGAGCCUCCCGGGGUCCUACGUGGCACCUCCAGUUCCACUCACUAGCUAGAAUUCCAUAAUCACUGGUUGCAGUUGACAGAAUGGCUCCCCAAAAAUGUCCGCCCCGACCCCUGGAAUUUGUAAUGUGUUAAAUUACACGGCAAACUGGACUUCAUAAAUGUAAUUAAGGUUGCAGACAUUAAAAUAGCGAGAUUAUCCCAGAUUAUUCAGAUGGGCAAACUAAUCACAUGAGCCUUUAAAAGUGGAGAACUUUCUGCAGCUGGAGGCAAAAGAGAGCAACCCAUCCUUCCAGGGAAGUUGGCCAAAUUCCCUCCGACACAGUCAGCUUUGCUGACCCCAAGGUGCAGGGACCCACAGCAAGGAGCAGCGAGAGGGCAGCCUGCAGCUGACAGCCACAAGGAAACAGGUCUCUGCUACAGCCAACAACCUGAAUGACAGUGGAACUCAGUUCUUCCCAGAGCCUUCCACUAAGAGCCCAGCUGGCACCCUGAUUUUGGCUUUGUGGAACCCAGAGCAGAGAAACCAGCCAGGCUAACCCAGACCUCCGGCCUACAGAACCCUGAGAUAAGGCAGAGCAUGAGAGACGCCCAGUUGGGGGGAUGUGAGGGAGGGACAGCCCUGCUGCUUGAACCCGGCCGGUAACUUCCUUCCUAUUGGGAUUAGUGAAAGCCAUCUAUCCAAGGGCCCUGCCUUCAGGUCUAUCUAUCGUGUUGCAAACGUCCUGAUCAGGAGGGAGUUGUGCGUUGUCACACGUGCUCACGCCAGGAAGAGCAUGAGUGCAAGUAAAGAAGAGGAAAAAAGGAGAAAAUGAUCUAAUAUUCCAAAAUUAAGAAGAAAAAGAGGAGGAUCCAGCCAAGGAGACUGAGAAGGAGCAACCAGCAAGAUAGGAAGAAAACUAA
rnacentral:lncRNA from 1 species